UUAACACCAGCAGCCCUGUCCCCUUUCCUCUUUCCCCUUUCUCCAAAUCACCCGAGACUCUCUACCCUAGCAGAUUAACACCAGCAGCACAACUGGUUCCACUCUCCACUCACCAGCAGCGCAAAUAUAUAACCACUCACCAGCAAUGCAACAAAGAUUCGAAACUUUCUUGGCGAGAAGAAGGUAAGAAUUUAUUCCCAAGUUUUGUUUUUUAUGUCUUGUUUGGUAUUCCCGGUGAUACUAUAAAAAAAUCAGGUCACAGGUUUUUCAUUUUUUUUGUUAGACUUUGUUGCUAGAAAUAUUAGAGUUGCCUGGUCAUGUUUUAGUUUUGGGUUCCUGCAGCAUGAAAUAAAUAUUUGUAAUUGGUGAAUUAGUAGAAUAUUAAUGGAAAUACAGUGAGGCUAAGUAAAACCCUGGUCAUGUUAAUAAUCUAGAUGCUGUGAUUAGUGUUUGGAAUUAAAUGUGGUGAUUUGCUGAUGAUUUCGGGAAUAUUGUUAAUGCCAGUUAUGUUGGAUCUCUAUGCUAUCCAGUGUCC
rnacentral:lncRNA from 1 species